rnacentral:hammerhead_ribozyme from 1 species
AUCCAGCCGAUGAGUCGCAAACAUGACGAAAUCUGCAUCCUGGAU